rnacentral:rRNA from 1 species
GACGAACGCUGGCGGCGUGCUUAACACAUGCAAGUCGAACGGAGCUUAAUGAUGAAGCUUGCGAUUCAUUAAGUUUAGUGGCGGACGGGUGAGUAACGCGUGGGCAACCUACCCAUAAGCGGGGGACAACAGUUGGAAACGGCUGCUAAUACCGCAUACGCUCCUUGAAACACAUGUUUCAAGGAGGAAAGAUGGCCUCUGAAUAUGCUAUCACUUAUGGAUGGGCCCGCGUCUGAUUAGCUAGUUGGUGGGGUAGAGGCCUACCAAGGCGACGAUCAGUAGCCGGCCUGAGAGGGUGAACGGCCACACUGGGACUGAGACACGGCCCAGACUCCUACGGGAGGCAGCAGUGGGGAAUAUUGCGCAAUGGGGGAAACCCUGACGCAGCGACGCCGCGUGAGCGAAGAAGGCCUUAGGGUCGUAAAGCUCUGUUUUAGGGGACGAAUGUCGGAAGUAAUAAUACGACUUUCGAAUGACGGUACCCGUAACGAGGAAGACCCGGCCUAACUAACGUGCC